rnacentral:rRNA from 1 species
CUACGGGAGGCAGCAGGCGAGAAAACUUUGCAAUGUGCGAAAGCACGACAAGGUUAAUCCGAGUGGUUUCUGCUAAAGGAACCUUUUGUCGGUCCUAGAAACACCGAUGAAUAAGGGGUGGGCAAGUUCUGGUGUCAGCCGCCGCGGUAAAACCAGCACCUCAAGUGGUCAGGAUGAUUAUUGGGCCUAAAGCAUCCGUAGCCGGCUCUGUAAGUUUUCGGUUAAAUCUGUACGCUCAACGUACAGGCUGUCGGGAAUACUGCAGAGCUAGGGAGUGGGAGAGGUAGACGGUACUCGGUAGGAAGGGGUAAAAUCCUUUGAUCUAUUGAUGACCACCUGUGGCGAAGGCGGUCUACCAGAACACGUCCGACGGUGAGGGAUGAAAGCUGGGGGAGCAAACCGGAUUAGAUACCCGGGUAGUC